AAUGAACGCUGGCGGCACGCUUAACACAUGCAAGUCGAACGAGAUCUUCGGAUCUAGUGGCAGACGGGUGAGUAACGCGUGGGAACCUGCCCUUUAGUAGAGAAUAACUCGGGGAAACUCGAGCUAAUACUUUAUACGCCCUUCGGGGGAAAGCUUUAUGCGCUAUAGGAUGGGCCCGCGUUAGAUUAGUUUGUUGGUGAGGUAACGGCUCACCAAGGCUACGAUCUAUAGCUGGUCUGAGAGGAUGAUCAGCCACACUGGGACUGAGACACGGCCCAGACUCCUACGGGAGGCAGCAGUGGGGAAUAUUGGACAAUGGGGGCAACCCUGAUCCAGCGAUGCCGCGUGAGUGAUGAAGGCCCUAGGGUUGUAAAGCUCUUUUGUCAGGGAAGAUAAUGACGGUACCUGAAGAAUAAGAUCCGGCUAACUCCGUGCCAGCAGCCGCGGUAAUACGGAGGGAUCUAGCGUUAUUCGGAAUUACUGGGCGUAAAGCGAGCGUAGGCUGAUUUGUAAGUUGGAUGUGAAAUCCCAGAGCUUAACUCUGGAACUGCAUCCAAAACUACAUUUCUUGAGUUUGGUAGAGGAGAGUGGAAUUCCUAGUGUAGAGGUGAAAUUCGUAGAUAUUAGGAGGAACACCAGUGGCGAAGGCGACUCUCUGGGCCAAUACUGACGCUGAGGUUCGAAAGCGUGGGUAGCGAACAGGAUUAGAUACCCUGGUAGUCCACGCAGUAAACGAUGAAUGCUAGAUGUUGGAAACAUUAGUUUUCAGUAUCGCAGCUAACGCAUUAAGCAUUCCGCCUGGGAAGUACGGCCGCAAGGCUAAAACUCAAAUGAAUUGACGGGGACCCGCACAAGCGGUGGAUCAUGUGGUUUAAUUCGAAGCAACGCGAAGAACCUUACCGGCCCUUGACAUACCAAUCGCGAACUUAAGAGAUUAAGUUCUUCACUUCGGGUGGAUUGGAUACAGGUGCUGCAUGGCUGUCGUCAGCUCGUGUCGUGAGAUGUUGGGUUAAGUCCCGCAACGAGCGCAACCCUUACCUUCAAUUGCCAGCACGUUAUGGUGGGAACUUUGAAGGAACUGCCGGUGAUAAGCCGGAGGAAGGUGGGGAUGACGUCAAGUCCUCAUGGCCCUUACGGGCCGGGCUACACACGUGAUACAAUGGUAACUACAAAGAGCAGCGAUGGAGCAAUCUUCAGCAAAUCUUCAAAAGUUACCUCAGUUCGGAUUGUACUCUGCAACUCGAGUACAUGAAGUUGGAAUCGCUAGUAAUCGUAGAUCAGCGCGCUACGGUGAAUACGUUCCCGGGUCUUGCACACACCGCCCGUCACACCAUGGGAGUUGGUUUUACCUGAAGCUGGUUUGCUAACCGUAAGGAGGCAGCCAACCACGGUAGGAUUAGCGACUGGGGUGAAGUCGUAACAAGGUAACCGUAGGGGAACCUGCGGUUGGAUCACCUCCUUUCUAAGAGUUUUUUUUGAUUUCUUCGGAAUUUAAAAAAUUUAUAACUUAGUAAUUAUAUGUGGAUUACCGUCCGCGUUUCUCUUUCAUUGUUUAAAACUAUGAAGCCUACCGUUUUGUCGGGCUUGUAGCUCAGUUGGUUAGAGCGCACCCCUGAUAAGGGUGAGGUCGGAAGUUCGAGUCUUCCCAGGCCCACCAAUUUUAUCGGUGGUUUCUCUUUUGGGGCUUUAGCUCAGCUGGGAGAGCACCUGCUUUGCAAGCAGGGGGUCACCGGUUCGAUCCCGGUAAGCUCCACCAAGUUUUAAGCUUUUCCAUUUACAUCGUGAAGUGACAUCAAUACUAAAUUAAUAAAAUUUUUAUUGAGAAUUCAAAUAUCAAAAAGUAAUGCUACAAGAAAUGUUAGUUCGUUUCUUGUACAUAGAAUAAUCAAGCGUUUAAGAGCAUUUGAUGGAUGCCUUGGCAUACACAGGCGAUGAAGGACGUAGUACGUUGCGAUAAGCUUCGGGGAGUGACGAACACACUUUGAUCCGGAGAUUU
rnacentral:rRNA from 1 species